UACGUAGGGUCCGAGCGUUGUCCGGAAUUACUGGCGUAAAGAGCUCGUAGGUGGUUUGUCGCGUUGUUCGUGAAAACUCACAGCUCAACUGUGGGCGUGCGGGCGAUAACGGGCAGACUAGAGUACUGCAGGGGGAGACUGGAAAUUCCUGGUGUAGCGGUGGAAUGCGCAGAUAUCAGGAGGAACACCGGUGGCGAAGGCGGGUCUCUGGGCAGUAACUGACGCUGAGGAGCGAAAGCGUGGGGAGCGAACAGG
rnacentral:rRNA from 1 species